GCUCUGGUAGUGUAGUCGGCCUAUCAUCUGAGACUGUCACUCUCAGAACCCGGGUUCAAAUUUUGGAAAAUAUAUGAGUCAUGUCUGAUAUUCAAUAUGCGCCUACCCAGACAUAUAUAUUUUUUGCGUUUGAAAAUCCCGGCCAGGGCG
rnacentral:tRNA from 1 species